GGAAGAGUUGCUCGAGUCCACCCUCGAGCUAUCCUGAAGACAGGCGGAAACAGAAGAAAGGGCCUUCAUAACCGCCGGAAAGCUUCCUGAUAUUUGAAUUAACUCGUCCUGCGGCGACGCACAGGCAGGAAUUUGAUCCUUGGGGACAAUCUUUACUUGAGCCAUACUCUCCUGCCUAAUCUUCUCCACAACUUUUCCUCCUCUACC
rnacentral:misc_RNA from 1 species